GACGUAGGGUGCAAGCGUUGUCCGGAUUUACUGGGCGUAAAGGGCGCGUAGGCGGCGUGGUAAGUCUGUGGUGAAAUCUCCGAGCUUAACUCGGAACGGUCAACUGAUACUGCUUUGCUAGAGUACAGAAGGGGCAAUCGGAAUUCUUGGUGUAGCGGUGAAAUGCGUAGAUAUCAAGAGGAACACCUGAGGUGAAGACGGGUUGCUGGGCUGAUACUGACGCUGAGGCGCGAAAGCUAGGGUAGCAAACGGG
rnacentral:rRNA from 1 species